UACGUAGGGGGCUAGCGUUGUCCGGAUUUAUUGGGCGUAAAGCGCGUGUAGGCGGCCAGAUAGGUCUGCUGUGAAAACUCGAGGCUCAACCUCGAGAUGUCGGCUGAAACCAUCUGGCUAGAGUCCGGAAGAGGAGAAUGGAAUUCCCGGUGUAGCGGUGAAAUGCGCAGAUAUCGGGAAGAACACCCGUGGCGAAGGCGGUUCUCUGGGACGGUACUGACGCUGAGACGCGAAAGCGUGGGGAGCGAACAGG
rnacentral:rRNA from 1 species